AACGAACGCUGGCGGCAUGCCUAACACAUGCAAGUCGAACGAAGCCUUCGGGCUUAGUGGCGCACGGGUGCGUAACGCGUGGGAAUCUGCCCCUUGCUUCGGAAUAACAGUUAGAAAUGACUGCUAAUACCGGAUGAAGUCUUCGGACCAAAGAUUUAUCGGCAAGGGAUGAGCCCGCGUAGGAUUAGGUAGUUGGUGGGGUAAAGGCCUACCAAGCCGACGAUCCUUAGCUGGUCUGAGAGGAUGAUCAGCCACACUGGGACUGAGACACGGCCCAGACUCCUACAGGAGGCAGCAGUGGGGAAUAUUGGACAAUGGACGCAAGUCUGAUCCAGCAAUGCCGCGUGAGUGAUGAAGGCCUUAGGGUUGUAAAGCUCUUUUACCAGGGAUGAUAAUGACAGUACCUGGAGAAUAAGCUCCGGCUAACUCCGUG
rnacentral:rRNA from 1 species